rnacentral:rRNA from 1 species
UACGUAGGGUGCAAGCGUUAAUCGGAAUUACUGGGCGUAAAGCGUGCGCAGGCGGCUUUGUAAGUCUGUUGUGAAAUCCCCGGGCUUAACCUGGGAAUGGCAAUGGAGACUGCAAGGCUAGAGUUUGGCAGAGGGGGGUAGAAUUCCACGUGUAGCAGUGAAAUGCGUAGAGAUGUGGAGGAACACCGAUGGCGAAGGCAGCCCCCUGGGUCAAGACUGACGCUCAUGCACGAAAGCGUGGGGAGCAAACAGG